rnacentral:rRNA from 1 species
UCGGAGCGUGUGGUUUAAUUCGAUGCUACACGAAGAACCUUACCAAGAUUUGACAUGCAUGUAGUAGUGAACUGAAAGGGGAACGACCUGUUAAGUCAGGAACUUGCACAGGUGCUGCAUGGCUGUCGUCAGCUCGUGCCGUGAGGUGUUUGGUUAAGUCCUGCAACGAGCGCAACCCUUGUUGCCAGUUAAAUUUUCUAGCGAGACUGCCCCGCGAAACGGGGAGGAAGGUGGGGAUGACGUCAAGUCAGCAUGGCCUUUAUAUCUUGGGCUACACACACGCUACAAUGGACAGAACAAUAGGUUGCAACAGUGCGAACUGGAGCUAAUCCCCAAAGCUGUCCUCAGUUCGGAUUGCAGGCUGAAACCCGCCUGCAUGAAGUUGGAGUUGCUAGUAACCGCAUAA